UACGGGGGGAGCAAGCGUUGUUCGGAUUUACUGGGCGUAAAGGGCGCGUAGGCGGCCAGCACAAGUCAGUUGUGAAAUCUCCGAGCUUAACUCGGAAAGGUCAACUGAUACUGUGCGGCUAGAGUGCAGAAGGGGCAACUGGAAUUCUUGGUGUAGCGGUGAAAUGCGUAGAUAUCAAGAGGAACACCUGCGGCGAAGGCGGGUUGCUGGGCUGACACUGACGCUGAGGCGCGAAAGCGUGGGGAGCGAACAGG
rnacentral:rRNA from 1 species